rnacentral:rRNA from 1 species
GAAUAUUGGACAAUGGGCGAAAGCCUGAUCCAGCAAUGCCGCGUGAGUGAUGAAGGCCUUAGGGUUGUAAAGCUCUGUUACCAGGGAUGAUAAUGACAGUACCUGGAGAAUAAGCUCCGGCUAACUCCGUGCCAGCAGCCGCGGUAAUACGGAGGGAGCUAGCGUUGUUCGGAAUUACUGGGCGUAAAGCGUACGUAGGCGGAUUGGAAAGUUAGAGGUGAAAUCCCAGGGCUCAACCCUGGAACGGCCUUUAAAACUAUCAGUCUAGAGUUCGAGAGAGGUGAGUGGAAUUCCAAGUGUAGAGGUGAAAUUCGUAGAUAUUUGGAGGAACACCAGUGGCGAAGGCGGCUCACUGGCUCGAUACUGACGCUGAGGUACGAAAGUGUGGGGAGCAAACAGG